CAGCAGCCACGGGAAUACGAAGGGGGCUAGCGUUGCUCGGAAUGACUGGGCGUAAAGGGCGCGUAGGCGGCGAUCAAAGUCAGGCGUGAAAUUCCUGGGCUCAACCUGGGGGCUGCGUUUGAUACUUGAUUGCUAGAGUGGGGAAGAGGGUCGUGGAAUUCCCAGUGUAGAGGUGAAAUUCGUAGAUAUUGGGAAGAACACCGGUGGCGAAGGCGGCGACCUGGUCCUUGACUGACGCUGAGGCGCGAAGGCGUGGGGAGCAAACAGGAUUAGAUACCCCCGUAGUCCCUGUCUCUUAUAC
rnacentral:rRNA from 1 species